UGCCAAUGGCCAGCGCCCAGAGCAGGAGGGGGAGAAGGAACCAAAGUCCCGAAACUCCGCCCGGCUGUCUCCGGAUUGGAUCCAAGUUUGCUUCUGGACAGCUGGGCUGGAAGCUGAGUGGACCAGAAAGGGGGCGUGUCGUCGGAGAGUGUGACCGGCCCCCUCUUCAGUUUGUGGUCCUGUUAGAUGCUGGGUACUUUUGCAGCCGCGGAAGCCUAAGAGACACCACCAGAGGAUGGCAGUGGCAUCUGGAGGAGGAUUGGAGCUAGCUGAAAGGAGUCCUGCCCACUAUCUGCAGAGGGAAGCUAGCAGUGGGGCUGCACCUUGGUAGUCAGGUGCUGGGUGCUGUCUGCCUUUUGCAUGAAGAGGAGAGACUUUUAAAACCGCCUGAAAAUGAAUCCAGAAUGAGUGAGACUCCCUCCAACUGAACAGGAGUUGUCAGGCCAGAGAUGUAUCUGCCAGACAGAGAACAAGAUACAUCAUAGGCAUUGGUGAUGGAAGCUUCCUUAUGCUGCUCACUACAGUCUGUCAACCCUCACCUCAAGGGACUAUGGAAAUGAUCCAAUACAGUGAAAUCAACAGGAGCCUUUCCAUUGAAUUCCAUGGGCACUGGAUCAAACCCUGUAAGUAGGUGUAAGAGGGUAGCUCAUUUCUGUCUCCAUUCAAUCAUUUGUCUCUCUGCUGAGAUUACCAAUAAGGAGGCCAGUUAGUUCCUGUUGUGAUGUAAACAGGAGUCCAUUGCAAAACGGCUGGAGACCAAACAGCUAAUUCUGCGUAGGCCAAAGAGACAUCAGAUGGUAACAAUUUAUGAUUAGUGCUAACUGAAAUUACUUUCAUGUGCAUUGUGUAUUCUGGUAUUAUACAAUUUAGUUCAGUUAAAAGGUCCUUCAUGUAAAGGCAAGUAAUUUUAUUUAUUCUUUUUUAAAUUAGAAAUGACAAAAACCUGCAGACAGAGGCUGGCAGGAAUUUAGCACCUUUAAUAGUGAAGCACACGACAUACAGAGAAGCUAAUGAAAUAUUAUUUACACUUAAUUCCAAAGACAACAAAACAUCCAAACUACAGACAGACUGUGGGCUCGAUGUUUUGUGGCUCCUAUGUUGAUACAUACCAUCUGAUGAUCUUGCCCACAUAUGAAUCCCCUUUAUAGGGUGAUUGCUUUUUGUGAUACAAGCAAGGCUGCAGUGCUACUUGCAGUAAAUAGCUCUCUUUCUUCCAGCCACAAGAAACUGUCACAUCUGCCAACCUUCAGCAGACUGAGCAGGGACUGUUAUUCAUUUUAGUGCCCAACUGCAUUAUAUUUACCCUGGCUAUAAUAUUCUCUAUUACCACUGAAAAUGUUUGGCUCCCAAAGAAAAAAAGAAGGAAUUGUGUCAAAGGUCCAAAUUCCUCCCUGAGAUGUGAAUAAUUUUCAGUGACUUUAAUGGGAGCUGUGCACAUGAAUUUCUAGAUGGAAUCUGACUCCAAAGCCCACCCAUUUAUACUGGAUUUUUUCAGCAGGACUUUUUCAUAUUAGUUUAUUAAACAUACUUUAAUCUCAAUGGGCUGAAUCUUUGGGCCCUCUUGCAUCUGCUUUGGAUGGUGGUGACAUGCAAAGGAACUGAAGAACUGCACUAAAGGGGAGGCUGAGAAUUUCUUCUGACAGGGGAAUCCUCAAGUGGCGCAAACCUGGUGUAGCUGGUUCUAUAUCUUCUGCUCUCCCCCGCCACAUGGGAGCCUGUUGGAGUAGUGUAUGGUGUUCCAUUAGAUCUGCAGCUAUCCUAACUCAGAACAUCUUCAGGCUGUUCCAAGAAACACUAAGGGUUGUUUUGGUCCCUGACUAGGGUGACCAGAUGUCCCAUUUUUAUAUGGACAGUCCUGUUUUUUGGGAUCUUUUCUUAUAUACCCCCCGCCCCCUGUCCCGUUUUUUCACAGUUGCUAUCUGGUCACCCUAUCCCUGACUGGCCUGGAAUCAGGGGUGCAAAAAGGUGACUUAUAGCCACCUCUCUUUCAACUCCAUGGCUACAGUGAGUGCAUGGACAUAGACAAAACUCUAGUCCCCUUUUCCACCCCUCUCCCCACCCCCCAAAAAUAAAAAAGUUGUCUAUGGCUAUGGAGUGUGAACUCGGAGCAUCUGAGGCAUGGAUCCAACUGCUGCUACAUUGGUUGCUAACAUUAUUUGAUAGUUCAGUUGUGUUGAAAACAUGAUUGAAAAGCCUGGGAAGAUAUGGUCUUAAAUGUUCUGUGGACUACAUUCUGAUGCCCUUAUAAUAUUGAGUAACACUUUACCCUGCAAUUAGUCCCAUUGAUUACUAUGAAGCUGCUCAGAGAGUAAGAUACUACUCAAUGUAAAUAAGGUAUCAGAUUCUGGCCCUUUCUGUUUUUGAAUAUAAGUGGUUCCUGUGUUUCCUUAAUUGAUGACUAGUGGCUUCACUGAUGCUUGCUGCAAUCUAGCAUUUGCAUCUCCCAGUGUGCAGAAAAAUAGCAACAUUUUUGUGUUCCUACUUCAUCUCUAAAUCAGUACCACAAUCAUACAAUAUCAUAGCCAAAUGUGGCAGGUGUGGCCUUUCCCAAUUAGGUUGCUUUAGAGAAUUAUUUGUGCAAAAAAGUAAUUGCCUGGUUAACAUUUAAACAAACAUUCAUUUUCUUUGUUCUCUUUCUCCACUUGUUGCAAGUUGUUUCUGUAUAAAUUUAGCUAGAAGUGCUUGUUGUAUUUUAGGGGUGUCAAUAAUGAACAUGACAGAACUUUUGCUGAAUGGAUCAGCUUAUAUAGAUGGGAAGAUGGGAAAGUUUCUGGUGACCUAAGGAAAAUAUUUACUGUUGGUAGCACUGCAGUAUUUUGAAUAUCAAGUACCACUCUCCAUUUCUGGGUAUACAUGCUGCAGGUAAAAUAAAGUUGUUUUGCUUCUGGAAAGUGCAGUUUCAUAAAUGCACUUAACUACCCAUAACAAAUGUCCUGUUAUUUGUGCUUUCAGCAAAAAUAUACAGUAGAGUAGUUGGAUAAUAAAUAGCAUCGUUUACCGCCACUCUAGAUUUCAUCACAAUAGUCAUGAUUGUUACCUUUCUUUCAGUUUCUAUGAAUACUGUUUGUUGUAAUCUCAUGAGUUUGGUUUUCUGUUUAACUAUUACUUGUUUACUCGUCUUCAGGAGAAGAAUUAUUCUAACAAUCCUUCUUGAGUAUUUACCAGCAUCUAUCUCCUACUAGUAUUAAGUAAGUUAUUAAUAAGUAAGAGAAGCUGCACAUUAUCUACAAUACCCUUCCACUGUUAGCCCACACAGAACAGGAGUUGUGUAAAAAGAGAUGAACAAUACUUAGAACUUAGAGUAAUGUAUAUCUUCAAAAUACUAUUAUGUAAAUAACCAACAACACUAUGAAAUACAUACGUUUAUGCCCAUUUUAGAGAUGGAGAAAGGCAGGCUGAAGGGGUUAAGAGACUUCCAUAGAAUAUCAGGGUUGGAAGUCAUCUAGUCCAACUCCCUGCUCAAAGCAGGACCAAUCCCCAACUAAAUCGGAGGUGUCUUGGUUCCAGGCCUGGGCUUAAAUCAUGCAGGUUGUUUAGCCUCUCAUAGGGAGUGAGAUCCUUCAAUAAGAAUUUAUCCCAAACACCUUGACUCUCAAUUAUGCUAAGCCUGAGUACGCCUCUCUGGCAGGAGGCCAGAAACAGAUCCCUGAAAAUAAUCCCUGCACAGAGGGCCUCCCAGCUGGUGUAGAACUGGCACCCAGGCUCCAGCACUGCUUCCAGACCCCAGUGGAUGAGAUUGGAGUGCACUGCACUAUGGCUACUAUCUACUUCCAAAGGGAUCAAAAGAAGCAGGCCUUGAAUGAGAGCAGCUCUAAAGCGUUUCUAAUUUAGCACCAGGGCUAAACAGGCUCCAGAUUGGGGAAGCAUAUGCUUCUGUCCCUGUCCCAAGUACAGGAACAGAGUAACUGAAAAUCAGGCCUGUAUCUCCAGCUAUGGAAUGGAUUCUCCAGUGAAUGCAUAUUACUCACACCUACUCCUUAUGCACACACACACACUCUAUUUACUUUGCUUCUUAAGGAAAUAUAGCCCUCCGCUUCUUCCUUAAACAAAUUAUACCUCUACCAAAAGCCUCCUGUACCAGUCUGAUUGUUUGAGGAUAUGAAUCCUGUGACGUUGUGCAAUCUAUAUGGUUUUAUAAAAACAUAAGUGAAUAUAAUGUAACUG